rnacentral:sRNA from 1 species
UAAGUUAUCGGGGCCUCUACGAGUGAC